rnacentral:misc_RNA from 1 species
AACUUUCGGAAAUGGAUCUCUUGGUUCUGGCAUCGAUGAAGAACGCAGCGAAAUGCGAUAAGUAAUGUGAAUUGCAGAAUUCAGUGAAUCAUCGAAUCUUUGAACGCACAUUGCGCCCUUUGGUAUUCCGAAGGGCAUGCCUGUUCGAGCGUCAUUAUAACCACUCAAGCUCUCGCUUGGUAUUGGGGUGCGCGGUUCCGCGGCCUCUAAAGUCAGUGGCGGUGCCUGUCGGCUCUACGCGUAGUAAUACUCCUCGCGUCUGGGUCCGGUAGGUUGCUUGCCAACAACCCCCAAAUUUUUACAGGUUGACCUCGGAUCAGGUAGGGAUACCCGCUGAACUUAAGCAUAUCAAUAAGCGGAGGCU